rnacentral:lncRNA from 1 species
UCUCUUGUUGUUGUUCAAAGUCGCACAUCUUUACAUGUGAAUACCAUGGCCUAUCCAAGAUGUGGUGGCCUGUAUCACCUGGCAGCCUCCCGUAUCAUCCUGGUGUUGCCAUUCUGGUGCAGAGUCUUGUCUGUAUUGAGCAUGAGUCAGGGCAUAUCACUGAGGACCCCAGGGAGCCCAGGGUCUGCAAUGAAGGAGAAAGCAUGUAGGAGACUUGGGUACAGUGAUACAGAUGCCAACUCUGAGGUGAGCAAGGAGGAGGCAUGGGGAAGAUGAACCGCAAAUCCCGAGGACAGACUCCAAGUGGUGGGAGGAAGAUCCUGAAGCACAAAUCUGAUAAUCCCUCAGUUUGAUCUCAGCCUGGCUUCAGACACAGCCAAGAUCCUAGACUAAGCCUGGAUCUUGGUCACAACCUGGACUCACCUCCAGGCUCAUUGAGCCCUGACACAAGCCCAUGCCAACUUAGAUUCUGGCCAUUGGAGUAAAACACUACCUGGCAACCAUUUGAGCCUGAACCCCAACUGAGAAUAAUCCAAUUUUUCCAUUCAAGGAAUAUUUAUUGAGUAUCUACAGCACGCCUAAUUCUGGGUCAGUUUCUGACUUUGAAGCCUCACCACCUCUUUUCAACAUUAGUGUGAAAUUUAAUGAGAAAAUACAUGUGCCCAGUUAGUUCUGAAGCCAUCCUCAUAAAAUUAGUAAAAUCAAUUGCCAGGUGUUUUGACAAAAGUAGACGCCUGGAAUACAAUUACAGCUCAACGUAACGGUUAACCAGCACACCCUUUGGCCCACUUGCUUAUAGUCACUUACUUCCCGUAAGUCACAGACCAGGUCACAAAGCACUAACUUUCCUUAGUUGCUCCUAUAGAUAACAUCUUUAUCAUUGAGAAAUGUCAAGUUUUCCAUUUAAGUUAUUUUUCAGAACUCAUAUUCCAGUGAAAGUACCAAUGUUAGCUAACCUGAAGGUCCCCACCAAGGAGCUCACUCAACUGAAGAAUGCAGUUGUUGCUACAUCCUGAUGAUUUCACCCCCUAACCCUGACCAAAUGGUGAUCACAAUCUUCCAGCCCCUUUCUCUCCACAAUUCCCUUUAAAACCCUAGCCCAAAACCCCUCAGGGAGGCAGAUUUGAGGUUCUUCCUGUCUCUUCAUUUGGCUGCCCAAUGGAUUAUGAAACUCUUUCUCUGCUGUAACUCCUGCUGUUUCAGUGUAUUGGUCUGUUACUGCACACUGAGCAAAUGAGACUGGUGGUCAUGUAACAUCUCCAUUGCUCAGCAGUCACCAUUAUGUACCCUCACCACAGCCUGAGCCCUCCUAACCCCAGUCAUGGCUAGGGGGACAGUAGUCUUUUCAGAGUGUGGAGAGAGGUUCUGUAGGACUUCCUAGCAGUCCUGGUAAAGACUUGUUUCCACAGGCCUUGCACACAUUGUUCUCUGGGUCUCAUAGCUGACACAUCCUGCUGAGUCACCCCCACUAGCUUUGGUUUCUGGCCCAUCCCCCUCUUUCUUUGCUUUUAUCUCAGAGGAAGCACUCCGGACUUCUGGAGAAAACCUUUCCUUCUUCAGCUUCCCUCCACUCACAAAGCUACUUCCUCUAAACUCAGAUGUUCUAAGUGUAGAAAGGAUGGCCCCUCUGGGGUUAGGAAGAGGAUAUUUGCUUGCCUCUUCCAUAGGCAAUUAUAUUUUCCUUUGACACUGGACAGAGCUCUGUAUCCCUGACCUGUGGCAGAAUGUGGUUGGAGGUUGUCACCUAUUAGUGACUCUAAGUGACUAUUCCUGAUUCACUCGGCCAGUGGUGUUAGGCUCCUAGUGGCACAGGAGGGCAUGAUGUCAUGGGCCUGGCUUCCUCUUCAAGAGGAAAUAUGUGGGCAUUCUGAACAUUUCUGUUCUGUAUGUCUGCCAAUCUGGCACCCUCCUACCAGACACCAACCUUCAGAGUGCAUGAGCAUUGCCUGUAAUUCAAAAGUGAUUCUGGAUUCUGAAUAAGCGCUCAGUCAUCAGAUCUCACUGUGAGUGCAUCUGCAUCUCUCUCAGAGAUACAAGGGUUGGCAGACAUGGAUAUACUCGUUUUUACUUUGCAGAGAACUGGACCAGCAGAACCCACCAGGAUAGGGCUCUUUUUAUGUUACUGUUAGGGUGCACAAAACAAUUUCCCAAAAUAUAGUGCUUGGGUAUGCUGAUUGCUUUUGAGAAUUGAAAGGACUCAGAAAUAAACCUCAGAACUAUGGUCUCUCUCUGAUCUUUUCCACACCUCCCUGUCUCUCUCACCCUUUUCUCUGAAGCACUUGGGAGGGAGUGUCUCUGGAAUUUCCUUAUAUGAUUAACAAAACUUCUUUCCAAAAGUAAUGCAAUUGUCUUAAGACUUCCUCCCUAAGAAUCUCAUCAAAUAACCAGGGAAGAUCAACCACCUGAGAAGAGAAGAGACUGUAAGUCGUCACCACACCCAGACAUCAUCUGCUUUUCUGAGAGCAGCUCCAAGUGAUAACCUGGAGGACUUUAUCUGCAAAAUAAAACAACCUUUGUCCCUGUACAGUGCCACCUCUCCCAUUCUAGUAGUGUCUGACUCCCUCUGCCUGGGUCCAUUCAUUCUUUCUAAUGAUUGACUGCUCCUCAAAAGAAUUGUCUACAUUUUCCAUCUGUUCCCUCUUGUGUGAAGAAGGAUGCAUAAGCUCUUAUACUACACUGGCUUUUUUGGGUGAUUACCCUGUGAUUCCCCC